rnacentral:rRNA from 1 species
GACGAACGCUGGCGGCGUGCUUAACACAUGCAAGUCGAACGGAAAGGCCCUGCUUUUGUGGGGUGCUCGAGUGGCGAACGGGUGAGUAACACGUGAGUAACCUGCCCUUGACUUUGGGAUAACUUCAGGAAACUGGGGCUAAUACCGGAUAGGAGCUCCUGCUGCAUGGUGGGGGUUGGAAAGUUUCGGCGGUUGGGGAUGGACUCGCGGCUUAUCAGCUUGUUGGUGGGGUAGUGGCUUACCAAGGCUUUGACGGGUAGCCGGCCUGAGAGGGUGACCGGCACAUUGGGGACGAGGAUACGGCACGGACCAGUGGGGAGGGAGGGGGGGGGGAGUCUGGCACAAGGGGGGGAGCCCGGAGGCAGCACCCCCGGGGGCGGGAGGGGGGCCUUCGGGUGUAAAACCGUUUUCGCAGGUGCGAAAGGGGGGGGGAGGGUAAGGGAAAAAGAAGCACCGGCUAACUACGUG